rnacentral:rRNA from 1 species
AUUGAACGCUGGCGGCAGGCCUAACACAUGCAAGUCGAGCGGAUGAAGGGAGCUUGCUCCUGGAUUCAGCGGCGGACGGGUGAGUAAUGCCUAGGAAUCUGCCUGGUAGUGGGGGAUAACGUCCGGAAACGGGCGCUAAUACCGCAUACGUCCUGAGGGAGAAAGUGGGGGAUCUUCGGACCUCACGCUAUCAGAUGAGCCUAGGUCGGAUUAGCUAGUUGGUGGGGUAAAGGCCUACCAAGGCGACGAUCCGUAACUGGUCUGAGAGGAUGAUCAGUCACACUGGAACUGAGACACGGUCCAGACUCCUACGGCAGGCAGCAGUGGGGAAUAUUGGACAAUGGGCGAAAGCCUGAUCCAGCCAUGCCGCGUGUGCGAAGAAGGUCUUCGGAUUGUAAAGCACUUUAAGUUGGGAGGAAGGGCAGUAAGUUAAUACCUUGCUGUUUUGACGUUACCAACAGAAUAAGCACCGGCUAACUUCGUG